GACUCCGUGGCGCAACGGUAGCGCGUCCGACUCCAGACCGGAAGGUUGCGUGUUCAAAUCACGUCGGGGUCA
rfam:Ciona savignyi cont_60374, whole genome shotgun sequence.